GACGAACGCUGGCGGCGUGCCUAAUACAUGCAAGUCGAACGCAUUUUCUUUCACCGUAGCUUGCUACACCGAAAGAAAAUGAGUGGCGAACGGGUGAGUAACACGUGGGUAACCUGCCCAUCAGCGGGGGAUAACACUUGGAAGCAGGUGCUAAUACCGCAUAAUUCCAUUUACCGCAUGGUAGAUGGGUGAAAGGCGCUUUUGCGUCACUGAUGGAUGGACCCGCGGUGCAUUAGCUAGUUGGUGGGGUAACGGCCUACCAAGGCUGCGAUGCAUAGCCGACCUGAGAGGGUGAUCGGCCACACUGGGACUGAGACACGGCCCAGACUCCUACGGGAGGCAGCAGUAGGGAAUCUUCGGCAAUGGACGCAAGUCUGACCGAGCAACGCCGCGUGAGUGAAGAAGGUUUUCGGAUCGUAAAACUCUGUUGUUAGAGAAGAACAAGGAUGAGAGUGGAAAGUUCAUCCCUUGACGGUAUCUAACCAGAAAGCCACGGCUAACUACGU
rnacentral:rRNA from 1 species